UUUUUAAGUUGGGUUUGCUUCCAAAUUAGUUCGUAUGUCAAUUGCCAUCCGUUUCGGAUUUGGAUUGAUUUAUAGUGAGUUUUCUUACAUAUUUGGCCACCUUCUUCUUUUCUAUUAACUUUUACAAGUAGGUACGUACAUAUAUACAUAUUUGAUUGUAUCUUUAACGCCAUUGUUGUUUGUUAGAAUGUGCCAUUAUUGUUGACUUACUUUAUACUUAAAAUAUUAAAAAAAAAAUCAUAUUUAACGUGUCUGUAAUAUUAGUAAGCCUCAUCAUCACCAUAAAAAGGACUCCGCUUUCUUUUAGCUAAUCAUUUUGUCUUCUCAAAAACGGAAUUAUAUGGAAAUGGAAUGGCUAAUCCAUCCAACCUUCCUUCCAUACGAAACUGACCUAUCUGUUGUUAUAUGCUAGCUACUGUCAAUAUUUUCUAAUUAUUCUUAUCUUUGUAGAAAAAAUCUACACAAUUUUUUACUAUUUACAUAAUCUUCAUGCACUAUAUAUUUUUUAAAAUGAAGCUUUAAUUUUCAAUGCUACAUAUAAAUAGUAGCUCCUCUCUUGCAACUUCAUCGUCUUAAUUUUUUUAAGGUAAUUAUUGGAUAUUGCUAGGGCUGUUAAAAGUAAUUAUUAAUUUUGGUAGACUUAGUUUUAAUUAUGAUUUGUAUAAAUUUAUCGAUGGAGUGACCAAGUGCAUAUUUUAGGAUUUAUUAGCAAAGAUAUUUCUUUUGUGAAUUUGAGUUGAGUCAUGAUCGAGGUGGGCUCUAUAAGUGGGGGAAAUAGGACAAAAAAUAUGGAACCGUCUAGCUCCACCACAACAAUAAUUAAAUUGUAAAAGCUAGAAAGCAAAAUCGAAAACCACUACUUACAAGAUUCAAUGUCACACCGCACGAUGUCUGCAUAAUACAAAAUUGAUGAGAUGCGUUUGAAAAUAAGACAGAUUUUGAUUUGAUUGACGUAUUCAAUUCCAUUCAUUCAGGUUAUUUUUCUCUGGGAUAUUUCACCCUGUUUAGACUUUAAUUAUGGGGUUUGUGUCGUCCUUUAAAUAUAUUUCCUACUCAAUUAAAGUUAGUUAGUUAUCUAAGCCCCAUAAUUAGUGAUCUAAUUGCGAGUUGUGGUAAACACGUUUGUUUUUAAGGAUUUUAUAUUUCAAUCCAACAGGAGGCUGUGCCCUUUGCGUUUCUAUCAAGUCUUAAUCGGGGACUAAUGCAACAACCCCAUCAUGAUUUAAACCGUGGUCAUUAUAGGCUAAACGUCUAUGAAUGAAGUGACUCUAUUUAUAAUAUGCACCAAAAAAAACCUCUACUCUACAGCCAAAUAUAAAAUGUUUUUGUUGAAAUCUCUAAAUCUGGAAAAAUACCAACAGAUCUGGUUUGGUUUGGUUUGGUUUGGCUUGGAUUGCAUCGUGCUUAUUUUCUUAUUUGGGCAUCUCCUUUCGUUUUUAAAUUGUUUUGAGUUGGCACUAUGCAAUGAUGUUGGAAACGUGUUUCUUUCUCUUGGAAAAAAGUAAAUAAAUAAUCGUUUGACGAUCAUGCCUUUUACUUUGUUUUAAUGGUCUUUUCUUUUUCUUUUUUUCCUUAAUUUCAUGUCUUCUUCGAUCAUUUUUGCAGAUGGGACACUCAAAACUCUUUCUCAGACAUUGGGAUAAUUUUUUUGAGCAAAAUCUGUGUGGAAAUGAUGUUGUUUAAAAUUUUCCAACAAAAAAGUUUCAACCUGACUUAAAUUUUUCAUUUCCAAAGCUUUUUCCAAUUGUUUGACUAUUCAGAAAGCAUGUUUUGAUUUUGGUUCAUGGUGAUGGCUACAUGAGCAUAUUUGUGGUGGACCCAAAGAAGCUUGUCUUCCAAAUUUUGAAAGUUGAUUUAAACUAGUGGAAUUUUCAUAAUCUCAACAGAGUCUUGUUGAAAGAGUGCUUGGAGUAAGAUUAUGUUCCAUCUUCUUGGUUCUUCCAGGGUUGGCUCCAAGACAAUAGUGGAGGGAUCCUUAUGAAUAAGAGUGUUUUUUGGGAUUGAUUUGAAACUGGGAAGAGUAGGAACCCAAGGGUUAGACCAGACUUUUGUGCCAAGAUCAUUGUUAACCUGAAAGUAUACACUACCUUUAAGAAAGUCCAGUUGCUUGAUAGUACCUUUCCAAAUCCAGGAGUUAUUGGGUUUUUGGUUGGCGUCAAAGAUGGAAUUAUUUUUCAGUGAAUUUUUUUUGAGGCAUUGAAAGAGAGUGGCAUGCCAAGGUAUAUUAUUUUUGAGGAGGUAUUUUUAAAAUAAAAAAAUGGCCUUUAUAUCUCUUUUUGCUUCAAUGGGAGUGUUUCUGCUAAAUUGAACUGAGGAUUUUCUAACAUGUACUUUUUGGCCGCACCAUUGAGAAUAUUUUUUCAGGCAAUUCAUGAGUCUUUGGGCAUUUUGGCUCGAGGUUUUUCCAAAAAUGAUAAGGUCAUUAUCAAAGAGAAGGUGUGAAAUUGAGGGGCCAUGUCUAUUGAUGGUGAUUCCUUUAAUGUUUCCAUGAUUCUAAUCUUUGGUGAUAAGUCUUGUGAGAACCUCAGUUUAGAGGAUGAAGAGAAAAUGGGGGUCUCCCUGCAGAGUCCUCUAAAGGGAUGGAUGAGGCCAUCAGGUCUUCCAUUUACAAUUACUAAGUAAGUGAAUGUUUUGAUGCAUUCCUUUAUUUAAUUGAUCCAUUUUUGUUGUAGAAACCUAGCCUUAUCAUAAUCUGAGUGAGGAAACCCCAUUCCAUAAA